rnacentral:rRNA from 1 species
UCCGGUGAUUAUAGCGCAGAGGAAACACCCGUUCCCAUCCCGAACACGGAAGUUAAGUUCUGUUGCGCCGAUGGUACUGCGCGGGAGACCAGCGUGGGAGAGUAGGACAUCGCCGGGA